UGAAACACGGACCAAGGAGUCUAACAUGUGCGCGAGUCGCUGGGCAAUUACGAAACCCACAGGCGCAAUGAAAGUAAAGGCCUUCCGCUAGGUUGGCUCAGGUAGGAUCCGUGCGGCGUAACGGCCGCGCGGCGCACUACCGGCUCGUCUCGACCGCCGCGUCGGUGAGGCGACGCUGAAGCGUACACGUUGGGACCCGAAAGAUGGUGAACUAUGCCCGAGUAGGACGAAGCCAGAGGAAACUCUGGUGGAGGUCCGCAGCGAUUCUGACGUGCAAAUCGAUCGUCAAACUUGGGUAUAGGGGCGAAAGACUAAUCGAACCAUCUAGUAGCUGGUUCCUGUCGAAGUUUCCCUCAGGAUAGCUGGCGCUCAGUCGUCGCAGUUUUAUCCGGUAAAGCGAAUGAUUAGAGGCAUUGGGGACGAAACGACCUCAACCUAUUCUCAAACUUUAAAUGGGUAAGAAGUCCGACUCGCUCGAUUGGAGCCGGGCAGCGAAUGCGAGUGCCAAGUGGGCCAUUUUUGGUAAGCA
rnacentral:rRNA from 1 species